CAGUCGCCGCGGUAAAACGUAGGUGGCAAGCGUUGUCCGGAAUUAUUGGGCGUAAAGGGCUCGCAGGCGGUUUCUUAAGUCUGAAGUGAAAGCCCCCGGCUCAACCGGGGAGGGUCAUUGGAAACUGGGAAACUUGAGUGCAGAAGAGGAGAGUGGAAUUCCACGUGUAGCGGUGAAAUGCGUAGAGAUGGGGAGGAACACCAGUGGCGAAGGCGACUCUCUGGUCUGUAACUGACGCUGAGGAGCGAAAGCGUGGGGAGCGAACAGGAUUAGAGACCCCCGUAGUCCCUGUCUCUUAUAC
rnacentral:rRNA from 1 species